rnacentral:rRNA from 1 species
CCUACGGGAGGCAGCAGUGAGGAAUAUUGGUCAAUGGGCGGAAGCCUGAACCAGCCAAGUCGCGUGAGGGAUGAAGGUUCUAUGGAUAGUAAACCUCUUUUAUAAGGGAAUAAAGUGUGGGACGUGUCCUGUUUUGUAUGUACCUUAUGAAUAAGGAUCGGCUAACUCCGUGCCAGCAGCCGCGGUAAUACGGAGGAUGCGAGCGUUAUCCGGAUUUAUUGGGUUAAAAGGGUGCGUAGGCGGGCAUUUAAGCCGGCGGUCAAAUGUCGGGGCUCAACCCCGGCCUGCCGUCGGAACUGGGUGCCUUGAGUGGGCGAGAAGUAUGCGGAAUGCGUGGUGUAGCGGUGAAAUGCAUAGAUAUCACGCAGAACCCCGAUUGCGAAGGCAGCAUACCGGCGCCCUACUGACGCUGAGGCACGAAAGUGCGGGUAUCGAACAGGAUUAGAUACCCGAGUAGUC